rnacentral:rRNA from 1 species
CCGGUCUCAUGUAACUCGGUCGCGCAGCUACGCCACUAACUCAUCCGCCUGGCGGCACGGUCGCCAGAUUCCAACUCAAAGCACUUGACUGGGGCCUGCACAAGCGGUUGAGCAUCUGGCCUAAUUCGAAGCAACGCGCAGAACCUUACCAGCGUUUGACAUGGCUAGUAUGAUUUCCAGAGAUGGAUUUCUUCAGCUCGGCUGGCUAGCACACAGGUGCUGCAUGGCUGUCGUCAGCUCGUGUCGUGAGAUGCUGGGUUAAGUCCCGCAACGAGCGCAACCCUCGUCUUUAGUUGCCAUCAUUCAGUUGGGCACUCUAAAGAAACCGCCGGUGAUAAGCCGGAGGAAGGUGGGGAUGACGUCAAGUCCUCAUGGCCCUUACACGCUGGGCUACACACGUGCUACAAUGGCGGUGACAGUGAGCAGCUAGAUCGCGAGAUCAUGCUAAUCUCAAAAAGCCGUCUCAGUUCGGAUUGUUCUCUGCAACUCGAGAGCAUGAAGGCGGAAUCGCUAGUAAUCGCGGAUCAGCAUGCCGCGGUGAAUACGUUCCCAGGCCUUGUACUCACCGC